rnacentral:rRNA from 1 species
CUACGUGCCAGCAGCCGCGGUAAUACGUAUGUCACAAGCGUUAUCCGGAUUUAUUGGGCGUAAAGCGCGUCUAGGUGGUUAUGUAAGUCUGAUGUGAAAAUGCAGGGCUCAACUCUGUAUUGCGUUGGAAACUGUAUGACUAGAGUACUGGAGAGGUAAGCGGAACUACAAGUGUAGAGGUGAAAUUCGUAGAUAUUUGUAGGAAUGCCGAUGGGGAAGCCAGCUUACUGGACAGAUACUGACGCUAAAGCGCGAAAGCGUGGGUAGCAAACAGGAUUAGAUACCCUGGUAGUCCACGCCGUAAACGAUGAUUACUAGGUGUUGGGGGUCGAACCUCAGCGCCCAAGCUAACGCGAUAAGUAAUCCGCCUGGGGAGUACGUACGCAAGUAUGAAACUCAAAGGAAUUGACGGGGACCCGCACAAGCGGUGGAGCAUGUGGUUUAAUUCGACGCAACGCGAGGAACCUUACCAGCGUUUGACAUC